rnacentral:rRNA from 1 species
AACGAACGCUGGCAGCGUGGAUUAGGCAUGCAAGUCGAACGGGAUCCGGAAGGUAGCAAUACCGGCCGGUGAGAGUGGCGGAAGGGCGAGGAGCACGUGGACAACCUGUCCCGUGGGUGGGGAUACCGUCCCGAAAGGGGCGUUAAUACCGAAUGGGGCCCCGGACCGCAUGGUCCGGCGGCCAAAGGCGGGGACCGCCAGGCCCGCCCCCCCGGGAGGGGUCCGCGCACCAUCAGCAAGACGGCGGGGUAACGGCCCACCGUGGCUAACGGUUAGCUGGGCUGAGAGGACGACCAGCCGCACUGGGACUGAGACACUGCCCAGACUCCUACGGGAGGCUGCAGUCGAGGAUCAUUCGCAAUGGGCGAAAGCCUGACGAUGCGACGCUGCGUGGAGGAUGAAGGCCCUCGGGUCGUAAACUCCUGUCAUGGGGGGCGAGGCGGAGGCGGUUAACGGCCGCCCGAGUUGACGGUACCCCAAGAGGAAGCCACGGCUAACUCUGUG